CGUAUAGGGUGUGACGCCUGCCCGGUGCCGGAAGAUUAAAUGAUGGGGUGCAAGCUCUUGAUUGAAGUCCCGGUAAACGGCGGCCGUAACUAUAACGGUCCUAAGGUAGCGAAAUUCCUUGUCGGGUAAGUUCCGACCUGCACGAAUGGCGUAACGAUGGCCACACUGUCUCCUCCCGAGACUCAGCGAAGUUGAAGUGUUUGUGAUGAUGCAAUCUACCCGCGGCUAGACGGAAAGACCCCAUGAACCUUUACUGUAGCUUUGCAUUGGACUUUGAACCGAUCUGUGUAGGAUAGGUGGGAGGCUAUGAAACCGGAACGCUAGUUUCGGUGGAGCCGUCCUUGAAAUACCACCCUGGUUUGUUUGAGGUUCUAACCUUGGCCCGUGAUCCGGGUCGGGGACAGUGCAUGGUAGGCAGUUUGACUGGGGCGGUCUCCUCCCAAAGCGUAACGGAGGAGUACGAAGGUACGCUAGGUACGGUCGGAAAUCGUGCUGAUAGUGCAAUGGCAUAAGCGUGCUUAACUGCGAGACCGACAAGUCGAGCAGGUGCGAAAGCAGGUCAUAGUGAUCCGGUGGUUCUGUAUGGAAGGGCCAUCGCUCAACGGAUAAAAGGUACUCUGGGGAUAACAGGCUGAUACCGCCCAAGAGUUCAUAUCGACGGCGGUGUUUGGCACCUCGAUGUCGGCUCAUCUCAUCCUGGGGCUGUAGCCGGUCCCAAGGGUAUGGCUGUUCGCCAUUUAAAGAGGUACGUGAGCUGGGUUUAAAACGUCGUGAGACAGUUUGGUCCCUAUCUGCCGUGGGCGUUGGAUAUUUGAAGGGGGCUGCUCCUAGUACGAGAGGACCGGAGUGGACGAACCUCUGGUGUACCGGUUGUCACGCCAGUGGCAUCGCCGGGUAGCUAUGUUCGGAAGAGAUAACCGCUGAAAGCAUCUAAGCGGGAAACUCGCCUUAAGAUGAGAUAUCCCUGGGGACUAGAUCCCCUUGAAGGGUCGUUCGAGACCAGGACGUUGAUAGGUCAGGUGUGUAAGCGCAGUAAUGCGUUCAGCUAACUGAUACUAAUUGCCCGUAAGGCUUGAUCCUAUAACA
rnacentral:rRNA from 1 species